UAAUAAUGUUCAGAUUAAGCUUCAUGAA
rnacentral:piRNA from 1 species